UUCGGACCUUGCGCUAAAUGAUGAGCCUAAGUCGGAUUAGCUAGUUGGUGGGGUAAAGGCCUACCAGGGCGACGAUCUGUAGCGGGUCUGAGAGGAUGAUCCGCCACACUGGGACUGAGACACGGCCCAGACUCUACGGGAGGCAGCAGUGGGGAAUAUUGGACAAUGGGCGGAAGCCUGAUCCAGCCAUGCCGCGUGUGUGAAGAAGGCCUUUUGGUUGUAAAGCACUUUAAGCGAGGAGGAGGCUACUAGUACUAAUACUACUGGAUAGUGGACGUUACUCGCAGAAUAAGCACCGGCUAACUCUGUGCCAGCAGCCGCGGUAAUACAGAGGGUGCGAGCGUUAAUCGGAUUUACUGGGCGUAAAGCGUGCGUAGGCGGCUUUUUAAGUCGGAUGUGAAAUCCCCGAGCUUAACUUGGGAAUUGCAUUCGAUACUGGGAAGCUAGAGUAUGGGAGAGGAUGGUAGAAUUCCAGGUGUAGCGGUGAAAUGCGUAGAGAUCUGGAGGAAUACCGAUGGCGAAGGCAGCCAUCUGGCCUAAUACUGACGCUGAGGUACGAAAGCAUGGGGAGCAAACAGGAUUAGAUACCCUGGUAGUCCAUGCCGUAAACGAUGUCUACUAGCCGUUGGGGCCUUUGAGGCUUUAGUGGCGCAGCUAACGCGAUAAGUAGACCGCCUGGGGAGUACGGUCGCAAGACUAAAACUCAAAUGAAUUGACGGGGGCCCGCACAAGCGGUGGAGCAUGUGGUUUAAUUCGAUGCAACGCGAAGAACCUUACCUGGCCUUGACAUACUAGAAACUUUCCAGAGAUGGAUUGGUGCCUUCGGGAAUCUAGAUACAGGUGCUGCAUGGCUGU
rnacentral:rRNA from 1 species